AGUGAACGCUGGCGGUAGGCCUAACACAUGCCAGUCGAACGGCAGCACAGUAAGAGCUUGCUCUUACGGGUGGCGAGUGGCGGACGGGUGAGGAAUACAUCGGAAUCUACUUUUUCGUGGGGGAUAACGUAGGGAAACUUACGCUAAUACCGCAUAUGACCUACGGGUGAAAGCAGGGGAUCUUCGGACCUUGCGCGAUUGAAUGAGCCGAUGUCGGAUUAGUUAGUUGGCGGGGUAAAGGCCCACCAAGGCGACGAUCCGUAGCUGGUCUGAGAGGAUGAUCAGCCACACUGGAACUUAGACACGGUCCAGACUCCUACGGGAGGCAGCAGUGUGGAAUAUUGGACAAUGGGCGCAAGCCUGAUCCAGCCAUACCGCGUGGGUGAAGAAGGCCUUCGGGUUGUAAAGCCCUUUUGUUGGGAAAGAAAAGCAGCAGGUUAAUACCCCGCUGUUCUGACGGUACCCAAAGAAUAAGCACCGGCUAACUUCGUG
rnacentral:rRNA from 1 species